UACGGGGGGGGUAAGCGUUGUUCGGAAUUACUGGGCGUAAAGGGCUCGUAGGCGGCCAACUAAGUCAGACGUGAAAUCCCUCGGCUUAACCGGGGAACUGCGUCUGAUACUGGAUGGCUAGAGGUUGGGAGAGGGAUGCGGAAUUCCAGGUGUAGCGGUGAAAUGCGUAGAUAUCUGGAGGAACACCGGUGGCGAAGGCGGCAUCCUGGACCAAUUCUGACGCUGAGGAGCGAAAGCCAGGGGAGCAAACGGG
rnacentral:rRNA from 1 species